rnacentral:rRNA from 1 species
UACAGAGGGUGCGAGCGUUAAUCGGAAUUACUGGGCGUAAAGCGCACGUAGUCGGCUUUGCAAGUCGGUUGUGAAAUCCCCGGGCUCAACCUGGGAACUGCAUCCGAGACUGCAUUGCUAGAGUAUGGGAGAGGGAAGCGGAAUUUCUGGUGUAGCAGUGAAAUGCGUAGAUAUCGAGAGGAACACCUGCGGCGAAGGCGGGUUGCUGGGCUGAUACUGACGCUGAGGAGCGAAAGCGUGGGGAGCGAACAGG